rnacentral:lncRNA from 1 species
CAGACUUGAGGGCUCAUUUGAGAUUUAUGGUUAUGAAUUUAAAGUGAGACCUGUCAGCAUGCUUGUGAAUUUUUCUCCAGCAAUAUCUGACUAUUUAAGUGAGGUAAGUGACGAUAUAAGAGAUAUUAAGAGCACCAAAUCAUAUUUUUUCAAAUAUCUGUAUUCUUUUCUUCAGAGACACUAUAGGAGUCUAAAUAAAAACAGACAAGGCAUGUGUUGCAAAGCCUUUAAUUAGAAUGUUUGUAUUUUUUACAUCAUGCAUAACUUCACAUUUGUGAUUAAUUAGUAAUUAUUUCAAUACUUGUAAGCUCAUCUGCCUCAGAUUUAAUCAUAAUACAUGAAUUAAAUUAAUCAAAUUAAGGAACAGCAAUUUAGAAAGAAACACACUUUAAGAAAUCAAAAUUCUCAAUUCAGGCAGUCUGUUUCUAUCAUUUGGUAUUCUACUCCUUUAAAAAUUUCAUAUUGCCCAACAAAAAGUGGUUAUUUUUACUGUUUUUGGAGAUGACUGAACAGAUGAAGGCAUCAGAUGCCUUCAUCAGCUGGUAUUUUGCCUAAGAUCUAUUUAAGAUAACCUUUUCUUAUAUUUUUUACUUAAUAUUGGGCAUAAUCGUAUCAUUCAAGAUUAAGUCUGGGUUAUUUCUUUGAUAAGAACUGAAUGUGGCCGGGCGCAGUGGCUCACGCCUGUAAUCCCAGCACUUUGGGAGGCCGAGGUGGGUGGAUCACCUGAGGUCAG